UGGUGAGGCAGGCCUGCAGCUGGGAAGGAGGGGAGGAUGGGCAGUUUGUGCUGUGGAGCACAGUGGCCCAGCCGUGAGAGGGGUGUAGAAUGGAGCACGCAGAAUGGAGCACACAGAGUGGGCUGGGCAGGCUGGGCAGGGUGCUGAUUGACGGCUGCAGGGCUGCUCCCCAGGCGUGGGUAAUUGUCCCACGCAUCUGGAGGCAGGCUCUGUAUGAAUCUGGCUCUUUCCAUGGCUCUGAAAACAGUCUUCUUUUUUACCCCUGAUGAAAUCCUGCAGUCUGCUCCCAUGUACCAGUACCUGGAUAGGAAACUGUUCAAGGAAGCCUACCAGAUUGCUUGCUUGGGUGUCACCGACACUGAUUGGCGUGAACUGGCCAUGGAAGCUCUAGAAGGUUUAGAUUUUGAAACAGCAAAGAAGGCCUUCAUCAGAGUAUAAGACCUCCUCAUCAGCACUGAGGAGAGGAAGAAGCGGGGAGAGACCAACAAUGACCUGUUUCUGGCAGAUGUGUUUUCCUACCAGGGGAAGUUCCAUGAGGCCGCCAAACUGUACAAGAGGAGCGGGCAGCUUGAAAUGUGUUGGAAGAAAAGCUGAGUGUUAGGAGAGAAGCUGAGGCAGGGUUGCAUGUCUGCUAGACUUGCUGGCUCCUUGCUUCUAGCAUUCCCAUUAUCUCAAGCAGCCAUGUUUCUCAUUCACUUGAUACACCAUUUCCUUCCAACCCCCACAUCCUCACCACCUGUUUCUUUGUUUGAGCAACAAUAAAUACAAUAAAUAGUGUGGGCUCCCA